rnacentral:rRNA from 1 species
UUCCAGACUCCUACGGGAGGCAGCAGUGAGGAAUAUUGGUCAAUGGCCGAGAGGCUGAACCAGCCAAGUCGCGUGAGGGAAGACGGCCCUACGGGUUGUAAACCUCUUUUGUCGGGGAGCAAAGCGAACCACGUGUGGUUCAUUGAGAGUACCCGAAGAAAAAGCAUCGGCUAACUCCGUGCCAGCAGCCGCGGUAAUACGGAGGAUGCGAGCGUUAUCCGGAUUUAUUGGGUUUAAAGGGUGCGCAGGCGGAGGUGCAAGUCAGCGGUCAAAUUGCGGGGCUCAACCCCGUCGUGCCGUUGAAACUGGCGUUCUUGAGUGAGCGAGAAGUAUGCGGAAUGCGUGGUGUAGCGGUGAAAUGCAUAGAUAUCACGCAGAACUCCGAUUGCGAAGGCAGCAUACCGGCGCUCAACUGACGCUCAUGCACGAAAGCGUGGGUAUCGAACAGGAUUAGAUACCCCGGUAG